rnacentral:rRNA from 1 species
AUGAAUGGAGCUGCUAAUGCUAAUGGUACUUCAAACAACACAAUGGUCUCCCCGGUGUUGCAAACUCCUCCAGCGGCCAGUACACAGGAAUCUGGUAAGAAGAGAGGGAGGCCCAGGCGUGUGCAAGAUACUACUGUUCCUACGGCUCCUCCAGUUCAUUUGGUUCCUACGGCUCCUCAUUUGGUUCCUUCAGCUCCUCCAGAAGGUAAUAAUAUUGUUCUCCAAACACCCCCUUCAGCCGUCACACAGGAAUCUGGUAAGAAGAAGAGGGGACGAUCCAGACGUGUGCCAGAUGUUUCUGUUGUACCAACUCCUUCAGUGCCUAUAAUAGACGGCAAACCUAUUUUUCAGACACCUCCUGCAUCUAGCGUACAUGAAUCUGUUACAAAGAAAAGGGGGCGGCCGAAGCUUGUGCAGGAUGGUUCAGAUACUAUAACUCCUCCAGUUCAUUCAAAAGAGAGUGAGCCCCUUAUGCAGACUCCGCCUGCAGUCACCUUAUUGGAGGGUGGUAAGAGGAAGAGAGGGCGGCCGAAGCGUGUGUCUGAUAGUUCAGUGACUCCUUCAAGUUAUUCUGAAGAUGUUGACAGUGGGGACACAUCAAAACAUGGACGGCCCAGGAAAAUUGACACAAGCCUGCCGCACCUGCCAUCUUUGUCUUCAGAUGAUCCCAGGGAAUAUGCAGAUAAUGUACUUUUUAUGUUUGAUGCACUGCGGCGACGGCUCAUGCUGCUGGAUGAGGCGAAGCAAGUAGCGAAGCAGCAGCAUAACUUGAAGGCUGGGAGUAUCAUGAUGAACGCUGAACUUCGCGUCAAUAAGAGUAAGAAGAUUGGAGAGGUUCCAGGUGUUGAGGUUGGUGACAUGUUCUACUUCAGAAUCGAGAUGUGCCUGGUAGGGUUAAAUAGUCAGAGCAUGGUAGGGAUAGAUUACAUAUCUGCUAAGUUUGGUAAGGAGGAGGACCCUGUGGCCAUUAGCGUCGUUGCAGCUGGUGUGUAUGAAAAUACCGAAGACGAUCCAGAUGUUCUGGUUUACACUGGACAUGGCAUGUCUGGUAAGGAUGACCAAAAGCUUGAGAGAGGUAAUCUUGCACUGGAGAGGAGUUUGUAUAGAGGUAAUCCCAUUAGAGUUGUUUGCACUGUGAGAGAUUUGACUUGUUCAACUGGUAAGAUAUACAUAUAUGAUGGCCUUUACAAGAUCAGAGAAGCCUGGGUGGAGAAAGGGAAAUCUGGGUUCAAUGUGUUUAAACACAAGUUGCUGAGAGAACCUGGACAACCUGAUGGCAUUGCAGUUUGGAAGAAGACUGAAAAAUGGAGGGAAAAUCCAUCCUCUAGAGAUCGUGUUAUAUUGAACGACAUAUCAUACGGUGUGGAAAGUAAACCUGUCUGCCUUGUAAAUGAGGUCGAUGACGAGAAAGGCCCUAGCCACUUCAUCUAUACAACUAAACUUAACUACGUGAAUUCCCUGAGCUCAAUGAGAAAGAUGCAAGGCUGCAAAUGCAUAAGCGUGUGCCUACCUGGUGAUAACGACUGUUCUUGUACGCAUCAAAAUGCUGGUGACAUUCCUUACAGUGCUUCAGGCACACUUGUUAGUCGGAUGCCUAUGUUAUAUGAGUGCAAUGAUUCAUGCACUUGUGUACAUGAUUGCCGGAACCGGGUUGUACAAAAAGGUAUCCAAAUCCACUUUGAAGUGUUUAAGACGGGAGAUCGAGGUUGGGGCCUCCGUAGUUGGGAUCCUAUCCGAGCAGGCACAUUUAUAUGUGAAUAUGCAGGUGAAAUUAUUGACAAGAAUGCUGUUGAUGCAGAAGACGAUUACAUCUUUGAGACCCCUCCCUCGGAGCAGAACGUAAGAUGGAACUAUGCACCAGAAUUACUGGGCGAAUCUAGUCCUUCCGACUUAAAAGAACCAUCUAAGCAGCUGCCAAUAGUUAUUAGUGCAAAACGGACUGGCAACAUAGCUCGCUUUAUGAACCACAGCUGCUCACCUAAUGUUUUCUCGCAACCAGUUCUAUAUGAUCAUGGUGAUGAGGGAUAUCCACACAUCGCAUUCUACAUUCCUCCAAUGACAGAGCUUACAUAUGAUUAUGGUCAGAGCCAAGGUAAUGUUCAGCUGGGAAAUAAUUCUGGGUGUCGGAGGUCUAAGAAUUGCUUAUGUUGGUCUCGCAAGUGCAGAGCUUCCUUUGGCUAA